GUGGGGAAUAUUGGACAAUGGGCGAAAGCCUGAUCCAGCAAUGCCGCGUGAGUGAUGAAGGCCUUAGGGUUGUAAAGCUCUUUUACCCGGGAUGAUAAUGACAGUACCGGGAGAAUAAGCUCCGGCUAACUCCGUGCCAGCAGCCGCGGUAAUACGGAGGGAGCUAGCGUUGUUCGGAAUUACUGGGCGUAAAGCGUACGUAGGCGGCUUUGUAAGUAAGAGGUGAAAGCCUGGAGCUCAACUCCAGAACUGCCUUUUAGACUGCAUCGCUUGAAUCCUGGAGAGGUGAGUGGAAUUCCGAGUGUAGAGGUGAAAUUCGUAGAUAUUCGGAAGAACACCAGUGGCGAAGGCGGCUCACUGGACAGGUAUUGACGCUGAGGUACGAAAGCGUGGGGAGCAAACAGGA
rnacentral:rRNA from 1 species